rnacentral:misc_RNA from 1 species
GAUGAAGAACGUAGCGAAAUGCGAUACGUAAUGUGAAUUGCAGAAUUCAGUGAAUCAUCGAAUCUUUGAACGCAUAUUGCGCUCUCUGGUAUUCCGGAGAGCAUGCUUGUUUGAGUAUCAGUAAACACCUCAACUUCCAUAUCUUUUUUGAAAUGGGAGUUGGACUUGAGUGAUCCCAACGCUUUUCCUCACCGAAAAGUGGCGGGUUACUUGAAAUGCAGGUGCAGCUGGACUUUUCUCUGGUCUAUAGGCAUAUCUAUUUAGUCUGCCUAAAAAACAGAUUAUUACCUUUGCUGCAGCUAACAUAAAGGAGAUUAGUUCUUGUGCUGACUGAUGCAGGAUUCACAAAGACAGGCUUCGGCCGACUUUGUAAACUCGAUCUCAAAUCAAGUAAGACUACCCGCUGAACUUAAGCAUAUCAAUAAGCGGAGGA